rnacentral:rRNA from 1 species
ACGGCUCAGUAACACGUAGUCAACAUGCCCAGGGGACGUGGAUAACCUCGGGAAACUGAGGAUAAACCGCGAUAGGUCAUAGUAUCUGGAAUGAUUUAUGGCUUAAAUCUAUAUGGCCUCUGGAUUGGACUGCGGCCGAUCAGGCUGUUGGUGAGGUAAUGGCCCACCAAACCUAAAACCGGUACGGGCUCUGAGAGGAGAAGCCCGGAGAUGGGCACUGAGACAAGGGCCCAGGCCCUAUGGGGCGCAGCAGGCGCGAAAACUCUGCAAUAAGCGAAAGCUUGACAGGGUUAUUCUGAGUGAUUUCCGCUAAGGAAAUCUUUUGGCACCUCUAAAAAUGGUGCAGAAUAAGGGGUGGGCAAGCCUGGUGUCAGCCGCCGCGGUAAUACCAGCACCCCGAGUGGUCGGGACGAUUAUUGGGCCUAAAGCAUCCGUAGCCGGUUCUACGAGUCUUCCGUUAAAUCCACCUGCUCAACAGAUGGGCUGCGGAGGAUACUAUAGAGCUAGGAGGCGGGAGAGGCAAGCGGUACUCAGUGGGUAGGGGUAAAAUCCGUUGAUCCAUUGAAGACCACCAGUGGCGAAGGCGGCUUGCCAGAACGCACUCGACGGUGAGGGAUGAAAGCUGGGGGAGCAAACCGGAUUAGAUACCCGGGUAGUCCCAGCUGUAAACGAUGCAGACUCGGUGAUGAAUAGGCUUCGUGCCUAUUCAGUGCCGCAGGGAAGCCGUUAAGUCUGCCGCCUGGGGAGUACGGUCGCAAGACUGAAACUUAAAGGAAUUGGCGGGGAGCAC